rnacentral:rRNA from 1 species
CCUACGGGUGGCAGCAGUGGGGAAUAUUGGACAAUGGGCGAAAGCCUGAUCCAGCCAUGCCGCGUGUGUGAAGAAGGCCUUCGGGUUGUAAAGCACUUUCAGUGGGGAAGAAAGCCUUGGGGCUAAUACCCUCGAGGAAGGACAUCACCCACAGAAGAAGCACCGGCUAACUCCGUGCCAGCAGCCGCGGUAAUACGGAGGGUGCGAGCGUUAAUCGGAAUUACUGGGCGUAAAGCGCGCGUAGGCGGUCUGAUAAGCCGGUUGUGAAAGCCCCGGGCUCAACCUGGGAACGGCAUCCGGAACUGUCAGGCUAGAGUGCAGGAGAGGAAGGUAGAAUUCCCGGUGUAGCGGUGAAAUGCGUAGAGAUCGGGAGGAAUACCAGUGGCGAAGGCGGCCUUCUGGAAUGACACUGACGCUGAGGUGCGAAAGCGUGGGUAGCAAACAGGAUUAGAUACCCCAGUAGUC